AUGGAUCACUCAUCCCAUGCCCAGUGCAUUCAUAAGUCCAGUGAAGAGCUCAGCAUAAGGUCCUCAUCUACAAAUCAGUCGACACACCACCGCACCUUUUCGCUGGCGUCAACGCAAGUGCAUGCGCCUGCUACAUCCGAGUUAAGAUAUUCAACCAUUCUGAUGCAAAGCAAGUCUGAAGCAGUCCUAUGGCAAAGGGCUCAUGUUCUACCACUAUGUUUACCAACUACUCCCAGUCCCACAGCAAAGCAGGGCACCACCAUGUCGUUACCUAGUACAUUUCUCUCCCAUAACCAAACGCAUCACUUGAGCCUAACCAUGCAAAUGAUGUACUAUACUACUUUGUUUUAA
rnacentral:rRNA from 1 species